rnacentral:lncRNA from 1 species
CUCGCGGCGGGCGCGCGACCCCGCGCGGGCCAGUGCGCUUACUUCCUCCAGAGCCACCACAGCCUGCACGCGCGCCGGGAGCUCCGUGGGGGCGCGCAGCGACGACUCCGCGCGUGAGAAGCCGCCGGUCCCUGAGAAAUCCCCCUCCUCCAGAGUCCUUGAGAGCGCCGCUUAAAGCCGAGGGGCGUGUUCGUGACGUCAUGCUGGCCGAGCGGCCGGAGGCGGGCCGGGCGGUGCACCGGGCGCGCUCCUUGGCCGCCCGAGGCCCGCCCGGGGUUUUCGACCGGUGGUUCCCCCUCUUCCCGAUUUCGCACAUGCAAAUCUCCGCCCCCGCGCCGGAGAGUUGUCCGGGUGCUCUGGAGGGGAAGUGCGGAAGCGCCAGCGCCCGCGUUCGGCUGUAAGGCGCAGAUUUGCAUACGGGGACCCCCGCAGCCUUAUUUUCCCUCUAUAUCUACAUUACGUCUUUUACCUACCACAGUUUUUCAGCUGCACUGCGAGGCCGCUAACCCCAUUCUGUAUAAAUGUACACGACGUCCAGAGAUUGACCGAGAUACCCACGGCCUGAGGCCUGGACCGAACUUUGGUGCUUUGACAGAGGAGAGUUUGAAUACAGUUCCUCACUGUAACAGCUAUGCAGUUGAGAUUCCCAUAUCUGGAGAGGUCACAGGGUCAACAACUAAGCCUCCCUCUGGGAGAGCUGCCUUCACCAUCAUGGUCUCUGCACGGCCACGUAAGCAUUCAGCGUUUCUUCAUCAGAGAUAUGUUUCACCUGCCCUCAGCCAGAGGCUUGUAGAAAGCACUUUUGUUUUAUGUUAAGCUAACCUGUCGAUCCUACUACAGCUGUUGAUCCUAUAUUGUAAUUCCAUCUCCUUUGCUGAGGCAGGCUUCUAGAGAUGGCUGAGAAAAGAGACAGAAGGAGCCCGAGUGAUUGUGUAGAGCAGACAGUUAAAAAAAAAAAAAAGGUAGAGAUUUUUUAAAACUCCCCUUUAUUGAACUACCAUGUUUGGUAAAGUAGCUAAUAUUGACUAAUAUGGGUAUAUAUUAGAUUAGGAAAAAAAGGAAAUAGGGAAAAAAUCUGCUGACAAUGGAGUGUUUUGUUUGUUUCAUGAGGGGGGUGCUCUUUUUUUUUUGAAU